GACGAACGCUGGCGGCGUGCUUAACACAUGCAAGUCGAACGGAAAGGCCCUGCUUUUGUGGGGUGCUCGAGUGGCGAACGGGUGAGUAACACGUGAGUAACCUGCCCUUGACUUUGGGAUAACUUCAGGAAACUGGGGCUAAUACCGGAUAGGAGCUCCUGCUGCAUGGUGGGGGUUGGAAAGUUUCGGCGGUUGGGGAUGGACUCGCGGCUUAUCAGCUUGUUGGUGGGGUAGUGGCUUACCAAGGCUUUGACGGGUAGCCGGCCUGAGAGGGUGACCGGCGACAUGGGGACUGAGAUACGGCCCAGAUUCCUACGGGAGGCAGCAGUGGGGAAUAUUGCACAAUGGGCGGAAGCCUGAUGCAGCAACGCCGCGUGCGGGAUGACGGCCUUCGGGUUGUAAACCGCUUUCGCCUGUGACGAAGCGUGAGUGACGGUAAUGGGUAAAGAAGCACCGGCUAACUACGUG
rnacentral:rRNA from 1 species